GACGAACGCUGGCGGCGUGCCUAAUACAAGCAAGUCGAACGAAGCUGUUUUAACUGGUGCUUGCACCGACUUAAACAACUGAGUGGCGAACGGGUGAGUAACACGUGGGUAACCUGCCCCAAAGCGGGGGAUAACAUUUGGAAACAGAUGCUAAUACCGCAUAACCACAGAAACCACAUGGUUUCUGUGUCAAAGAUGGUUUCGGCUAUCACUUUGGGAUGGACCCGCGGCGUAUUAGCUAGUUGGUAAGGUAAUGGCUUACCAAGGCAAUGAUACGUAGCCGAACUGAGAGGGUGAUCGGCCACAUUGGGACUGAGACACGGCCCAAACUCCUACGGGAGGCAGCAGUAGGGAAUCUUCCACAAUGGACGAAAGUCUGAUGGAGCAACGCCGCGUGAGUGAAGAAGGUUUUCGGAUCGUAAAACUCUGUUGUCAGAGAAGAACGUGUGCGAGAGUAACUGCUCGUGCAGUGACGGUAUCCGGCCAGAAAGCCACGGCUAACUACGUGCCAGCCGCCGCCGUAA
rnacentral:rRNA from 1 species